rnacentral:lncRNA from 1 species
CUGACCAUAUGUACCUGGAUAUGCACAACAAAAGUUUGCAUAAGACUAGCAUGAGUAUACCACAUCGGUACUCGGUAAGUGCCAAGACUAACCUCGGUGGAGCAGUGACGAGGAAGGUCGAGGCCCCUACUGAGAUAAAUACAAGAAUAAAUAUGAAAAGAAGUAAUAGCAAGAAAUACGUAAACCUCAAAUAUCAAACAAGCAAUAAGAAGAAACGUAAUAGGUUAUAUUACAAUUCUACACUACAAGAACAAUCAUAACAUGCUAUUUGACAUCGGGGAUCUCUUGGUAUCCCGAGGAUCUCCCGGUAUCCUCAUCACACGCACAAGGGAUCUCCAAGUACCCCAAGGAUCUCCCAGUAUCCUCAUCAUAUAAGCAAGGGAUCUCCAAGUAUCCCGAGGAUAUCUUGGUAUCCUCCAAAUUAAUCAGUUCUGCACUAGGGAACUCUUAGUAUCCGCCCGUGACGGGGAUCUCUUGGUAUCUUGCACUUCCAAACUCUAGGAACAAAAUACAAACAGGGGGAGCUUUCGGGAUUCCGUCCCAUAGCCCCAAUAGUAAAUAAACCACAACAACCAAUAAUUAACAGAAAUGAAGCGAAAUGCGAACAACAAAUAAAAUCUAACAUGUUUCACAAGGAGGAAAAAUAUCGCAGUUUAGUCAAAUAAGUCAAAUAAUUUGCUAACAUGCUCUCCAAGAGAAGACAGAUAUUGCAAUUUAAUCAAAUAGACCAAAUAAGUUAGUAGUGUGCUUUUCCUAAGUCAAAAUAAGUGAAGUUUCAUUUUUAGCAGUUUAAUAUGUGGAUAAACACAGUCUAAAUAAGCCAAGUAAGGUGAAUUUAUUUUCAAACCGUAGCGCAAGUACACAGUCGUCAUCUUGCGCACAAGGCAUUUAAACAAUGACAAAGAUAUCGUAAGGGGAAAGGUCCCCCAAACAAAGUUAGGCAAGCCACUUACCUCGAGUUGGUACAAAAUCGCUAAGAAACAAUGCCCUUGCCAUGAGUAUCCAACUCCGAGUUGCCCAAAUCUACUCAAACCGAUUACACAUUGUAAAUAACAUCAAAAGUAACUGAUUACACUGUUAAAACUAAUGCUAAGGCGCGAAAUUAGGUAAAAUGACCAAAAUGCCCCUCGGGCCAACGUCUCCGAAUCGAGUAAUUUUCACAUUUUCAGAAACCUAGUACUCUCACGAGUCUAACCAUAUAAAAACUUCAAAAUCGGAAGCCAAUUGCUCCCUCAAAUCCCAAUUGUUUAGACAAUGAUCUUCUACUCAAAUUCCUCCAUUUUUGGACCUUAAUUUGAAUUUAAAAGAUAAAUUUAACAAUUAAAUAAUGGAUUAAAGCUAGAAAGGAUCAUAGAAACGUUAUCCCAUAAUCUCUUCUUCAAGACUCACUCAAAAUUGCCUUGGUCUGAGCCCUAAAUUGGUUUUUCAACUUAUGAAAAUAAACCCUAGGGUAAAUCUCUUAACACGCAGCGAUUUCCGCUUCUACGGCUGAUUGAACGCAUCCACGGUCGCCGCAUAGGCGACCGAACCCUCGCUUCAGCAGUCUGACUUAUCCACGCCAGGGAUCGCUCCCACGUCUCUUGACCUCUUCUGCGGUCGCUGCAAAAGCGAGCUUUCCCCUGCUUCUGCUAUCCCGACCAAUCUCCCAAGACCGCGUCCGCGACCCCAAAUCCGCUUCUGUGGAAGUCUAUUAUGCGGCUCCCCUUCCGCAUUCGCGGAAACAACAGGUGACAGCAGCAAAACUUCACCCAAAAUUCCAAAAUCAACCCGUCGAGCAUCUGAAACAAACCUGAUGCCACCGGGACCCCAACCGAACCUAAAACCUAUCACUUAACAUCAUUCGGACUUGCACCAAUCCUUAACUCGCCUAAAACAAUGCCGGAAACACCAUUUAAUCAAAGAUUUGAACCUAAAACUUCCAAAACUUAACCAAACUCACUUCCGAUUCAAUACUUAGCCAAAACAUGUCCGAUUGACAUGAAACUUUGCACGCACGUCACAAAUCAAAUGACGGUGCUAUAGCAACUUCCGAAAUCUCAUUCCGACCCUCGGAUCAAAAUUUCACUAUCGGACCGGAAACUUCAAAAUUCUAACUUCCGACAUUUCCAUCCUUAAUGAGCUACGGACAUCCAAAAUACAUUUCGAACACGCUCCCGAUCCCUAAAUCACCUAACAGAACUUACGAAACCAUCAGAUUUAUGUUCCAAGGUCGUCUUCACAUUGUUCUAAUUACGAACCAUUUUCCAACACUUAAGCUCUCAUUUAGGGAUUAAAUGUCCCAAAACACUGUGAAUUCUAUUACCGAACAUCCCAGCAAACUAAAAUAGCAGAAGUGAACUUAGGGGAAACAAUUAAUGGGCAAACGGGGCAUAAAUUCCAAAGACAACCGUCCGGGUCGUCACAGCCACGGAAUUGUACAUCGUGCGGUACGACAUCACCCUUCGUUCUUUUAACUCACUCACAAAUUUCAUACACAACAUCAAUCAUUCGUGCUUUAAACUCUUCCUUACAAAAUUAUACACGACAUCACCUUCGUUCUUUAACACUCUUCCUCGCCAAACAACAAUCACGAAGCAAUAAGGGCAAGAAAAUCAACAAAUUCACAAUAAAAUGUCGACUAGGAAACAAUAGCACAACAAUCAUAUCUCGGUACGGGAAACAAUAUCAAGACAAUAACAAUCCGGCAAUGGAGAUAACAUUAAAGCAACAACAUCCGGCAAGGAACACAAUAUCAAAAUCCUCUUUACUUUUUCACAUUUACUUCACAACUCAAUUAGUAAUUUGAGUCAAUUAUCUAUAAGGUUCAACUGCCAAUUAUACUUCACAAGUAAUUUUACAACUUGAGUGAAUGCUCUUAAAUAUUCAACUACAAAUAUUACCUUGCCGCUCCCCCUUAUUCUUGCAAAAUCGGGUUUUUGACAUUUGGGAGGAUAACUCAUUCCCUUUUGGAAAUUUAGGUUUGAAUUGAACAGUGGCCACCUAAUGAUUUAAGUGCAUUGGUACACUAAGAAGGGUUUGAUUUAAGUAAACAAAGAUUGGGUAAUGGCUUGAAAAAAUCCUAGGGAAAGGUGUUAGGGACCCCUCAAAAUCCACUAGUGUGGUUCCCCGCAAGACUAUUGUCGUGAAUUUAAGUGUAAACAAUGUGUAGGCAAAUAAAAUUUCAAAUAAGAGGGGAUUUUCACAUAAUGGUUACAAAUAAACAAAGUUGGAUAGGACUAAAAGAAAGCUGAUUUUUUCCUAAAGAAAAAGUUUGAAAUUAUAGAAGAAACAAAUAAACAAAGGAAAGGGGGUCCUAUGUUUACAAAUAAUAUGGAUCACCCCGCACAACAUCCGGUAAUCACUCCUUACUUAGGGGAUACACGAAAUGUUAUCGUGUGGUCGUCAUAUUCAUAUAUUCCCUUUCCCACCUCGUUAAGGUAUUAAAGCGCGGAAUGUUCUUGAAUACUUAUUGCAUGCUAUUACUUAUCUCAAUCCUAUCAAUCCCAGAGGCAUUUAGAGGCCAGGAUCACAAGGGAUUGAGUUUAAUUCAUGGACAAUAAUUUGCAUAUUGCCAUGCCUUAAACCAUAGCUCAAAAAAAGGGCAGGGGUUUUGGGGGUUCAUAAUAGAACAGACAGAAGGAAAUCAGCAUGCUAAUUUAAGUGUUGAACUAAACAGAAAUAGUAAGUAGACAUAGAUAGAAAACAAGUAAAUAAAUAUAUUGUUGUGGUGCUAAAGCUUAAUCAGGACAUACAAGUUUCAAAGAAAUGAAUAGCGAAAAGCAUUAGGUCUUGUAAGUAGGCCACAAUGCAGACAAGAAGAGAGAAUACUCUUACGUAUAAGUGUAUGUUCAGAAAGACUAUGAAUGAGUGAUCUGUGUUAAUGAAAUAGUUGUGCAUUUAUAAUGUGAAAUCAGGCAUAUAUAAGGUAAAAAAAAUAGUUAAGGAACUAAAUAUCAAUUAAGAAUAAAUCACACGAGACUUCUUUUAGUUAAGGAAAUCAGAUUCAAACGGUAAAAGUUAUUUAAGGAAAAAAAUCAAACAAGCAUUUUGUGCAAAGUAGGCAACUAGUGGUAAAUACGUAGAAGUUUAAUUUAGGGGAAGAGCUUUCAAAUACAUGGUUGCAUAAAUAAGGUAAGAGAAAUCAAUUAGUAGUCAGUAAAUCAAGGAUCAGAGAUUUUGUAAUUACUGGUCCAUGAAUGAACCAAGUCAAAAAUUUAAGGAAAGUCAAAUAACUUAAAUUGAGUCAUAGGGAAAUAAGCAAACAAGGAAAUAAAUCAAUCAAACCUAUACAGAAGGAAGUCCGAAACUAAUCAAAAUAGGAAAGACAUUUUAGAGGGAAAGUCCAGCACAUAAAAAGAGUACACAAGUAUCAUACAUGUGAGAAGGGAUCAUGUAAAAGGUCUUAUAGAGUUUGGCAAAAGUCAGAAUCAUACGAAGAAACAAAAUUGAGACAAUGAUUUUGAAACUUAAUGAAGCAGUAGAUGAAACAAUUCUAGGAACUCAAAUAGCUCCAAAAAUUAGGGUUUUUGAAAUUAGGCAAGUUCAGAGAUGAAGAGCCAGCAAAUGACAUAGCCAGGGGUCUCAAAACUCGAAUGAACCCCCAAAUUUAGGGUUCUUCCCAUUAACCGAGUGCAGAGACAAAAGUGCAGGUGAUUAGGGUAAAAAAUACUACUUAAAACAGGUUCAGAGGUCAUAUAAAGGAACUGAGACCCUUAACAUGUUCCUUUAGUUACAGAAAUUCAUGAGAAAUAAUAGUAAAAAGUAAUAUGUGAAACAAUAGUAGAAAAACUAGUAGAAGAAACAUAUAAGAACAUGGUAGGACAAUCUUAACAAGAGCACAAAAGGAGAAACAUAAUAGAAGAACAUGGAGGAAGAGAAUUAACAAGAACACAGUAGGAGAGAUACAGUAGAAAACACAUAAGAGUAGAAGAAAAUCAAAUGAACACACAAGAAAAUCAAAGAAACAUAACUCGAAAUGCUAGAUCAAAAAAUAAAGGGUUUCAAAGCAUAACUUUUGAAAAAAUAUCAGAAAAUCAUUUAAAAGCUUAGGGAAAGCAUAGAUCUGGAACAAAUCUAAAGAGAUCAGAAAAACCUCAAAGCUAGGGUUAUCAGAGGAAGCCAAACGAUGAUAAAGGCUUGGAUCUAAGCAGGAGGAGUUGAGGAAAAGAUCGGACAGACAUGGCUUGGCGAAGCAAAGCCACAGAUGGUUGUGAAACAUGAAUCAACAGAGGUCUAGACCCAACUCUUCGUGGUUAAGUCAUGAAGCCUCAGUAAACAAACGUAAAGAGCCAUGGGUUGCUUGGUGGGUGGUGAAAUCAUCAUGGAUUCAGGUCAAAAGGUGGCCGGAGAAGAUGAAGGGAACUCAUCGGAGAGGAGGGGAAGGGUGGAAUGUCCUA